UCACACCCAAAAAAAGCAUUACACUAAUUAAGUUAGGUCCCAAAACAACAACAACUGUGACAUUUCCAAAUUUUUCAAAAAAAUAAUUUAUAAAUAUAAAUCUGGGACCCCCGGAAAUUGCUGGCAUUUGAGGAACGAGAAAGAGAGAGAGUGUGAGAGAGUCUCUUUCUUUCUCAUUUCUCAUUCUCCUAAAACCCCUGUUUCCUCUCUCUCUCUCUCUAAACUUUAAUUUUUUUUUCUUCUAUUUUUCCUCUUUCAAUUUUCCUUCUCUCUCUACAUUUCGAUCUGAAUUCAAUAACGUCGUGAUACUGCUCCUUCUUCUUCUUCUUCUUCUUCUUCUUCUCCCGCGCGCUCGCUCGCUCGC
rnacentral:lncRNA from 1 species